GUGAACGCUGGCGGUCGGCCUAACACAUGCAAGUCGAACGGCAGCACAGUAAGAGCUUGCUCUUACGGGUGGCGAGUGGCGGACGGGUGAGGAAUACAUCGGAAUCUACUUUUUCGUGGGGGAUAACGUAGGGAAACUUACGCUAAUACCGCAUACGACCUACGGGUGAAAGCAGGGGAUCUUCGGACCUUGCGCGAUUGAAUGAGCCGAUGUCGGAUUAGCUAGUUGGCGGGGUAAAGGCCCACCAAGGCGACGAUCCGUAGCUGGUCUGAGAGGAUGAUCAGCCACACUGGAACUGAGACACGGUCCAGACUCCUACGGGAGGCAGCAGUGGGGAAUAUUGGACAAUGGGCGCAAGCCUGAUCCAGCCAUACCGCGUGGGUGAAGAAGGCCUUCGGGUUGUAAAGCCCUUUUGUUGGGAAAGAAAAGCAGCAGGUUAAUACCCCGCUGUUCUGACGGUACCCAAAGAAUAAGCACCGGCUAACUUCGUG
rnacentral:rRNA from 1 species